CACACUGGGACUGAGACACGGCCCAGACUCCUACGGGAGGCAGCAGUGGGGAAUCUUGCGCAAUGCGCGAAAGCGUGACGCAGCAACGCCGCGUGGGUGAAGAAGGCCUUCGGGUUGUAAAGCCCUUUCAGUUGGGACGAAGCUUCGCCGGUGAACAGCCGGCUGGAGUGACGGUACCUUCAGAAGAAGCCCCGGCUAACUACGUGCCAGCCGCCGCCGUAACAC
rnacentral:rRNA from 1 species